UCCUACGGGAGGCAGCAGUGGGGAAUAUUGCACAAUGGGCGCAAGCCUGAUGCAGCCAUGCCGCGUGUAUGAAGAAGGCCUUCGGGUUGUAAAGUACUUUCAGCGAGGAGGAAGGCGUUGAAGGUUAAUAACCUCAGCAAUGACGUACUCGCAG
rnacentral:rRNA from 1 species